ensembl:lncRNA
AUGUUGUUGCCAGAGUUGCAUCGGGGUUGCUUCGUGGGUCAAUUUCAAUCGCGUUUACGUUGUUUCGUGUAUCAGCAAAGUUGCUUGAGAUCAUGACACUUGCUACUUACAUCUGCAACAGAAAUUGCUUCCAUGUUGCUUCGUUUUCUAAAUCCAGUGCCGUAACAUCGCGAGAUAUCCGGGAACACCGUCGAAAGAGAUCUGGCCGAGGUUUGGCGAUUGAGAGGUAUUUUAUAUCGAACAAGUGCCUUUGAUUUGACGGCCUCCACAUUCGCAGUUCGGCGCGAAACAACCGUUAAACCCGAUGACGUGUUUCUGUGCAUGAGCUUAGUUAGCCAAAGUCGGUCUGACAUCACCUUCAAGCGUGUGUAACAGGUUUGCAGAUAGGGGGAGAUCCCGAACGUCUUCCCCGGAUGAAAAUGUGAUGCAAGGGCAACAGAAAUAAAUGAUGCUCAACUGGGACCACUGGCUGAUGUGAUUUAUUUGGAGGAAACACAACACAAGGAGAGUACGAUUUGUUACACGUGAUUGACUAAAACUGGUUCUCCAAUGGAAACCCCGUAUCUUCAUACUGUGGUCUUUGAUUGUAAGUCUGUCAACAGGGUUUAGCUACAUACAGUAUGAGGACACUGAGGUCUGGAUCUUAAUUUUUGGAAUAACAGAAACAAGUCAUCAGCCAGUCGUCCCCCAUUGAUUUUGUUGAUCACUCACUCAAUGUCUCAUCAAAAUGGCAUAAAUCAUGGCAAAAUGUAUAGACUUGCAGGAAAUAUGCUGUAAAUCUGCAAACAUUUUUUUUAAACCUAAUAGGCUAUGUGUUUGUAGACCGACUGAGGUGAAUGAAACUACAGCAACCAGUGUGUUAAUGGCUGGGGUAAUUUGGUUUGUGUGACAAAGUGAAAUUGUAGAGUUUACAUCAACCUCACUCUCACUGCGUGCAAUGUAAAUAUUGAAGAACACCGCUAUUCUCUGGCAGAAAGUGGGUGAAACCAUUCACUUCAGAAAAGGUGUGAUGUUAAUAACGUUUCCUUUCAUUAUGAGUGGUCGAAUUCAUAAAAAUAUGUACUGCCAUUGUAGUAAGGUUGGCAAAAUGAGAGGUCUUCACUUACCUGUUUUGUGUUAUUUUCCUUGAAAGAACAAGUAGUGGGUUUUGAGUGCUUCUCCUCUACUUGGAAAGUUGGUCUGCCUGCUCUUCAGUCUGAAAGCAGGUUCGUGUCUCAUUCCUCUGCAUGUAAAAACUGUUUAAAACAGUGUAACACAAUAGUGUCUUUUGAAAACCGUUCAAUAUAUCACAAAGUCAAUAUUCAAUGUGGCUAUGUAUAUAUUUAUGUUGUCGCUAAUGUAUUUAAAGCCUAUUUCGGCAAGUUAACCAAGUGUUUGUUGGCUUAGCUAGCCAUGUUAAUGAUGUGCUAACUUGCACUGUCAGUGAAUUGUAAUGUCACGUUAGCUAUUGCUGGCAUUUGAUUUAUUGGUAAUUCAAGACAUCUUUUUUUAUUUCUAUUACAUUUUUUUACCCCAUUUUCUCCCCAAAUUCAUGGUAUCCAAAUUUGGACACCAGUGUCCCAUCACGACAACUCCCGUACGGAGAGAGCCGUGCGACCGCCUUAACACAACCCAGUCGAGCCGCACUGCACUGCUUUUUGACACAAUGCCCACUUUAAUCAGAAGCCAGCUGCACCAAUGUGUUGGAGGAAACAUCGUACACCUGGCAACAGUGUCAGUGUGCAUUGCACCCGGCCCGCCACACGAGCCGCUUGAGCACGAUGGGACAAGAACAUCCCUGCCUUCCUAACCCGGACGAUGCUGGGCCAAUUGUGCACUGCCCCAUGGGUCUCCCGGACGCGGCCGGCAGCGACAGAGCCUGGAUCUCUAGUGACACAGCUAGUAUUGCGAUGCAGUGUCUUAGACUACUGCGCCACCCGGGAGAGGCCCAUUCAAGACUUCUUUAAUUCAAUAUUAAGUGAAUGUUAUUUUCUUACUACCUUAAAAGGUUUAUAUAAAACAGGUUGUACUUGUGCUAUGUAUUUAUGGAUUGAUGUCACUUCACAUUGAAGGCAUGUAUCAUUACUGUUGCUCCUAUAUAAAAUAUGUCCUACCUAACCAGUGAACUUGUGGAUGUGACCAUCAGGUCAAUCAAUGCCUGUCAUCGCUGUUUGAUACCUUUCACUGCAGAUGAAAACCAAGUUAACCUGAAGUGUGGGUGUCCAUGUACCUUUCUUCUGGGUGGCUAUAUGAAGUUGGUUACACUUGUUUUUGCUCUUCUCCAAAUUGUAUGUGAAAAUAAAACAUUGUGGAAUUCAUCGAUAAAGGAAAAGAAAA